rnacentral:misc_RNA from 1 species
AAUUUUUAUCAAACAAUGUGCUGUUACCGACAGAGUAAUGACGUUUAAGCGCCAUAAGAUGUCGCAGCAAUCGUGCGCAAGCGCUUCACGAGGGAUGAAUAGAUUCCUCGCGAAGUAAGCGCACAGUCGAGCGUUAGUACGCGAAGCUGCCGUUUCGUUUGUUCGGUGAUUCUCGGCAAACUUCGGUUUCGUAUUAUAGUUGACGGGUAGUAGGGGUAACCUGAAUCGAGCAUAGAGCAAUAGACGGAGAAAGAGAGAGAGAAAGCAAGAUAGAAAUCAGACCAGGACGGUGCAGAGAGCGGAGACCAGCGUGUCUCCUCUCGUGCAUGCGUUCGCUUGUCAGGACUGUGUGUGUGUGUACAACACAAAGAAAGAGACAAAAAGACGUAUGCGUGGCGCGGUGAGAAACGUGUUACGAACAGUGACAGACAAGAUGGCGGUGUACUUUGUGCAGUGGUAGUAAUAGUGGUGCGUAGAGCACAUUAAAAAGAGUAGUGGAACGAAGGGGGUUAGUAAAGGGUUGGCAGCUGGUUAGUAUGGAACCAGCUCUGACGUCGACCACGAGACGUCGCGGUCAUCAACAUCAUCCGCGACACGCUACGCGCCGACGUCUCGACGCCUCCAGCAGAGGACCCGCGCAGUGUGGCCCUGCUGAUAUCGUUAAAGAUACGGCGAUCAGAAAUAACGAAACAUCAACAACUACAACGUCACCGAAGCUUGAUGAAAAAAGCAAUGUCAUCGAUACAGAAUGUUCCACUGCGGUGACAGUGCCCACAAUCGGCACGAGGUGGCUUCGUGAUCCGACGGCCACGGUGUCCACGAAAGAUGUAACAUCGAAUGAAGAUUCAAAUAAGAUAAAAUAUAAUCUCGAGCAUGAUAGAGAAGAAAACAUCCGUCAUAGGCUCGCGCAGUGUAGCCUGGAUGUUCUUGACGAACGACACGAACAAUUUGUUCGUAAAAGAAACGAAAAUGAGAACUUUGAUAGUUAUAAAAUGGAAGAAGUAUUGGACAAUUCUGAAUUAAAACCACGUGGGAAUGAAAUAUGCGAAAAUAAAUCUGACGAAGAAAAGAGAAAAAAAGAAAAUUCGCCGGAGCCUGAGCACGCGGUCGCGAGGGCUCGCGGUGAUGGAAACUCUGACGACGAAUCAACUAAUGUCGAGGAGGAUCCUGAACUUGCUGAACUUGCCAAGUUGAGGUGUCCUAGUGAAAGAACCGAGGUACAAGCUGAAAGAGAAGCUAAAAGAAGAAAGAGAUGCGCUGAUUAUCCUGGAUUAGCUUUUGGAUGGUCUAUAUUCUCCAGCGACACAAUGAUGAAAUUCGGUCUCAUAAGGAACGAAUUGCAGAAUAUUAUGGGAAACCAGCUAAAACGGGCUGAGUCCGAAGUAGCCGCUCUGAAUCGUCGUAUCCAAUUGUUGGAGGAGGACCUCGAGAGAUCGGAGGAACGCCUUGCAACGGCCACUGCUAAAUUGGCAGAGGCGUCGCAAGCAGCGGAUGAGAGCGAACGGAUACGCAAGGCACUCGAAAACCGUACCAAUAUGGAAGAUGACCGGGUAUCCCUGUUGGAGCAGCAGCUAGCACAGGCUAAACUGAUCGCCGAGGAGGCGGAUAAAAAAUACGAGGAGGUCGCCCGUAAAUUGGCCAUGGUUGAGGCCGAUCUAGAACGUGCCGAGGAACGUGCCGAAGCUGGAGAGUCGUUGCCAGAAAACUAGUCAUGAUGGAACAAGAUCUUGAGCGCGCCGAGGAGAAGGCGGAACUUUCGGAAGGGAAGAUCGUUGAGCUCGAAGAAGAAUUACGCGUAGUUGGCAACAAUCUGAAAUCCCUUGAGGUCUCCGAAGAGAAGGCGACACAGAGAGAGGAGACUUUCGUGGGCCAGGUGAAGAUAUUGGAUAGUCAAUUGAAAGAGGCUGAAGCUCGUGCCGAGUUCGCGGAAAGAUCGGUGCAGAAGUUGCAGAAGGAGGUCGACAGGCUCGAAGACGUGGUGGUAAACGAGCGCUGUAAGUACAAAGCGAUCGCCGACGAGAUGGAUCAGACGUUCGCCGACCUGGCCGGAUAUUAGCAGGCGGACUAAUUCUCAGACAACAAACGUGUGUAUA